rnacentral:rRNA from 1 species
UACGGGGGGGCAAGCGUUGUUCGGAAUUACUGGGCGUAAAGGGCUCGUAGGUGGCCAACUAAGUCAGACGUGAAAUCCCUCGGCUUAACCGGGGAACUGCGUCUGAUACUGGAUGGCUUGAGUUCGGGAGAGGGAUGCGGAAUUCCAGGUGUAGCGGUGAAAUGCGUAGAUAUCUGGAGGAACACCGGUGGCGAAGGCGGCAUCCUGGACCGACACUGACACUGAGGAGCGAAAGCCAGGGGAGCAAACGGGG